GCACUAGUGGGUUAGUGGUAAACUUGGUCGUUGCCAUUCAGCAAUCCUCGACCAGCCCCCGGUUCAAUUCCGGGCUAGUGCA
rnacentral:tRNA from 1 species